rnacentral:misc_RNA from 1 species
GUGAAUCAUCAAAUCUUUGAACGCAAAUUGCACUCUCUUCGGGGAGUACGCCUGUUUGAGGGUCAGCCUAAAAAAAAUCGACAUAGUCGCUGUUUUCGCGGUGACAUUCGUCGGAAAUUGGGUCAUCUUAAACCUUUGGGUUUUAAGCGGCUUAAAAUUUUCUUUACGGUUUCCACGAACGUUUCUAGGAUUUACUUUUUAUAUACGUUUAAGGUAUCGAUCUUUAUUAGUCGUGGCCGUUGCAUCGGAUCUCGUCUAUAAUUAUUUCGUUUACUGACCUCAGAUAGGUAAGACCUCCCGU